rnacentral:rRNA from 1 species
UACGAAGGGUGCAAACGUUGCUCGGAAUUAUUGGGCGUAAAGCGCACGUAGGCGGCUUGGCAAGUCGGAUGUGAAAUCCCUCGGCUCAACCAAGGAAGUGCAUCCGAAACUGCUGAGCUUGAGUACUUAAGAGGAUCGCGGAAUUCCCGGUGUAGAGGUGAAAUUCGUAGAUAUUCGCAAGAACACCAGUGGCGAAGGCGGCUCACUGGCCCGGUACUGACGCUGAGGCACGAAAGCGUGGGGAGCAAACAGG